AACGAACGCUGGCGGCGUGCCUAACACAUGCAAGUCGUACGUGAAAGUUUCCUUCGGGAGGCGAGUAGCGUGGCGAAUGGGUGAGUAACACGUGGGUAACCUGCCUGAAGGAAGGGGAUAACCCCGGGAAACUGGGGAUAAUACCCUAUGAAUCUAUGCAUUGUAAAAUGCAUAGGGAAAGAUGGCCUCUGUUUCAUGCUAUCACCUUCAGAGGGGCCCGCGGCCUAUCAGGUAGUUGGUGGGGUAAUGGCCCACCAAGCCUAAAACGGGUAGUUGGCGUGAGAGCGUGAUCAACCACACUGGCACUGAAACACGGGCCAGACUCCUACGGGAGGCAGCAGUGAGGAAUAUUGGGCAAUGGGGGAAACCCUGACCCAGCGACGCCGCGUGGAGGAUGGAGCUUUUCGGAGUGUAAACUCCUGUUAGAGGGGAAGAAGGCUUUGCGAACCAAUAAUUUGCAAAGCUUGACGGUACCCUCAGAGAAAGCACCGGCUAACUACGUGCCAGCAGCCGCGGUAAGACGUAGGGUGCGAGCGUUGUUCGGAAUUACCGGGCGUAAAGGGCGCGUAGGCGGUUUGAUAAGUCAAGAGUGAAAGUUAUAGGCUCAACCUAUAAAAUGCUCUUGAAACUAUCAAACUUGGGUCCGGAAGAGGGAAGCGGAAUUCCCGGUGUAGGGGUGAAAUCCGUAGAUAUCGGGAGGAACACCAGCGGCGAAGGCGGCUUCCUAGGACGAUACCGACGCUGAGGCGCGAAAGCGUGGGGAGCAAACAGGAUUAGAUACCCUGGUAGUCCACGCCCUAAACGAUGGAUGUUAGGUGUAGGGAUAUUUUCUCUGUGCCGUAGCUAACGUGUUAAACAUCCCGCCUGGGGACUACGGCCGCAAGGCUAAAACUCAAAGGAAUUGACGG
rnacentral:rRNA from 1 species